GAGCUUGCUGGGAUAAAACGAGAACUGCUAAUUACUCGUAACCAUGGUUCAACUCCAUGGCUUGCUCG
rnacentral:tRNA from 1 species